rnacentral:rRNA from 1 species
UGUGCCCUACGGGGCGCAGCAGUGGGGAAUAUUGCACAAUGGGGGAAACCCUGAUGCAGCAACGCCGCGUGAGUGAAGAAGUAUUUCGGUAUGUAAAGCUCUAUCAGCAGGGAAGAAAAUGACAGUACCUGACUAAGAAGCCCCGGCUAACUACGUGCCAGCAGCCGCGGUAAUACGUAGGGGGCAAGCGUUAUCCGGAUUUACUGGGUGUAAAGGGAGCGUAGACGGCUGUGCAAGUCAGAAGUGAAAGCCCGGGGCUCAACCGCGGGACUGCUUUUGAAACUGUGUAGCUGGAGUGCAGGAGG